UGGGGAAUUUUGGACAAUGGGGGCAACCCUGAUCCAGCAAUGCCGCUUGUGUGAAGACGGCUUUCGGGUUGUAAAGCCCUUUUGUCCGGAAAGAAAACUUCGGGGCUAAUACCCCUGGAGGAUGCCGGAACCGGAAGAUUAACCACGGGCUAAUUACGUGCCGGCAGCCGCGUUAAUACGUAGGGUGCGAACGUUAAUCGGAUUUACUGGGUGUAAAGCGUGCGCAGGCGGUGCUGUAAGACCGAUGUGAAAUCCCCGGGCUUAACCUGGGAACUGCAUUGGUGACUGCAGCGCUGUAGUAUGGCAGAGGGGGGUGGAAUUCCACGUGUAGCAGUGAAAUGCGUAGAGAUGUGGAGGAACACCGAUGGCGAAGGCAGCCCCCUGGGCAAAUACUGACGCUCAUGCACGAAAGCGUAGGGAGCAAACAGG
rnacentral:rRNA from 1 species